rnacentral:rRNA from 1 species
UACGGAGGGUGCAAGCGUUAUCCGGAUUUACUGGGUUUAAAGGGUGCGCAGGCGGAUAUGUAAGUCAGUGGUGAAAUCUCUAGGCUUAACCUGGAAAUUGCCGUUGAUACUAUAUAUCUUGAAUGCUGUGGAGGUAAGCGGAAUAUGUCAUGUAGCGGUGAAAUGCUUAGAUAUGACACAGAACACCUAUUGCGAAGGCAGCUUACUACGCAGAUAUUGACGCUCAUGCACGAAAGCGUGGGGAUCAAACAGG